AGUUUCAGCAAUUUGGGGACAUACUCGCCAUGUUCUGCUCUAUACCCAGUGGGAGGAGCAGCACUGAGGAGAGGAAGAAGAGCUCCAGGCCUAGCAGAUGCCUCAUGGGACCCGUACUCUGCAUGGCCAGGAAGGGACCUGGAGUAGAGAAGCGCCAUGUUUGCAACUGAACAGGACUCAGACCAAGGGAGGAAACUCCGUGUGAUGAAGAGUGAAGGUGAAGGAGCUGAGAAGCUGGACAGAGUGGGCAGGAACAUGGUGCAACUGCACAGAAGGCCACAGGGAGUAGGAACAGACCCAGCUGUCAGAUGGACUCAGGACAAGGCACCCCCCACCCUGCACAGUUCUGGUUCUGAAGUUUUGACCUUGGUCCAUAGGAUCUCAGGAAAUCCUCCAAUCUGGCCUCAAACAUGUGAUCCUCCUGCCUCAGUCUCCUGGUAGCUGGCAUUAUAUGUAUGACCACUGCACCAGGCUCUAUGGAUGUUUUGUCCCAGUGACCACACUCAAUGGCAGACUCAUGCACACUGUGGGGGAAGAAGUGGCUGUAGUGAAAGGUAAAUAAAAUCAUAAGCCAUCUUCACAUGGAAAGGCAGCCUUGGCUCUUUUGGAAAAUCCGGACUGCAGAUGUCCCCUGCCCUCUAAGAUAAUGGCCUUGCUCAGCCCUGCCACGUGGAAAGGAGGCGAAGGCCAAUGCAGCCCUGGUCAGAGGUGGAGUAGAAGCGUCUACCAAGUGCCUCCUGAUCAGCUUCAACAGCAGAGUGCUCAAGGUUUUGGCUGCUUCUGCUGGCCUCCAUCUCCCUGCUCACAGACCACAGAGAUGCCGGUCUGGCUCCAGGGCUGAGGUCUCCUGUGCGUCUCCAUGCAGGCCAUCGCUUCCUCCUGCUCUCACCUUCUCCACCUUCCCCUAUGACGUGUGCUUUUUUGUAACACAAUAAAGAUAGGAUUUAAUUGCAGAUAAAA